rnacentral:piRNA from 1 species
UCCAAGGCUGCAGAUUUCAGUGAGAAGC